rnacentral:rRNA from 1 species
UACGGAGGGUGCAAGCGUUGCUCGGAAUCACUGGGCGUAAAGCGUACGCAGGCGGUUUACUAAGUCGGGUGUGAAAGCCCAGGGCUCAACCCUGGAACUGCAUUCGAAACUGGUAGACUUGAGUACGGGAGAGGAGAGCGGAAUUCCUGGUGUAGAGGUGAAAUUCGUAGAUAUCAGGAGGAACACCCGAGGCGAAAGCGGCUCUCUGGCCCGAUACUGACGCUCAUGUACAAAAGCGUGGGUAGCAAACAGGAUUAGAAACCCCGGUAGUCC